UUCCAAUGUUGACAAUGGCCGUACUGUGGGC
rnacentral:piRNA from 1 species